AGUGAACGCUGGCGGUAGGCCUAACACAUGCAAGUCGAACGGCAGCACAGUAAGAGCUUGCUCUUACGGGUGGCGAGUGGCGGACGGGUGAGGAAUACAUCGGAAUCUACUUUUUCGUGGGGGAUAACGUAGGGAAACUUACGCUAAUACCGCAUACGACCUACGGGUGAAAGCAGGGGAUCUUCGGACCUUGCGCGAUUGAAUGAGCCGAUGUGGGAUUAGCUAGUUGGCGGGGUAAAGGCCCACCAAGGCGACGAUCCGUAGCUGGUCCGAGGGGAUGAUCGCCAACCUGGGACAGGGGCAGGGGACCAACACCUGCAGGGAGCAACGGGGGGGAAUAUUGGGCGAGGGGGCGGAGGCCUAUCCCGGCAAACCGGCGUGGGUGAGAAAGGCCUCCGGGUGGUAAGGCCUUUUGGUGGGAAAGGAAAACAGCCAGUUUAUUCCCCGCUGUUCUGACGGUACCCAAAGAAUAAGCACCGGCUAACUUCGUG
rnacentral:rRNA from 1 species